rnacentral:snoRNA from 15 species
AAGCCAGCCAAUGUCUCUGCUUACCUGAACGUGUUUCUGCAGAAAUUUUGAAAAGGCUGGCAAUAGUAAAGCCAUGCUACGAGCCUUAAGGACACUGAAGUCAUUAAGGUCCCUGAAAAUGGCAACAGCG